CGGAAACCUCACCUGGGUCUCAGGAGUUUUCAUGAUGUAAAUACCAAAUUCCUUCCCUCUCUCUCUCUCUUCCUCCUUCUCUCCCCUCCCCCCCUUUCUAAAGCAAAGGGCAACAGCCGAAUUAGAUCGAGAUGAGGGAUUGUUUUGCAAAUUAGGUCCAGCACCAGAAGGAUAAAGGCCAGGCCUAAAAAGAAAUUGGAUUACAGGAAAGAUACCGGCAGUCUAGUCCAAUAGCAAGCCACCAUGCUCCACCGAACAGGCAUGAGUCAGCGGAAGAGACAAGAAUCAGCUGGAAUACCAUGAGAAGUCCUUUUGUGCGUUUCUCUCUAGGAAGUGAAGACCAGCAAAGACCACCGAAGGCUGGAAACAUCUCUCUGACAGCUUCCAGAAAAACAUCACGUGACAAACUGAGUUUCCAAAGAAACCAGAAAUUUCCACUUUGUGAAAACCUGUUUAACAAAACAAAACAAGGCCUGUGGCUACAGGAGUUGGUAGAGUUUAUCUUGCCUAGAGCACAAAGUCCUGGGCUUAAUUCCUAGCACUGCAUAAAAACCAAGCUAUGGGACACAUUUGAGGCUAUGGUCUAUGUUUCAAAAACAAAGAAAUCCCUCACACCUGAUACCUGUUGGUGAAUCAUUUCCCCCUCCUCAGGGGGUGCCAGACACUGUUAGUCAUCCCUACAGUGCUACCUCAGCACCUGGUAUGUAGCCUCCCACAGUACGUUUGUCCUCUUGUCUGCCGCUAGCCAAAACUGAGAAGUCCUAAAUGGCAGGGGUUAUCUGUCUCCCGAUCCCAGUAUUGGCCCAGUGCCCAAUGGCUUGUGGGUACUGGGCCCACAUUGUAGGAGUGUAGCGAACUCUGCUGUGACUAGCGGGAUGUUCUAUGAGGUGACUGCCCUGGAUCACUGAAGGAAAGAGUCGCUCCUGAAGGGAGCCCUGGGGCACUUGCCUGGCACCAGGAGCUGAAUAGAGAAAACUGAGUGUCUGUGCG
ensembl:lncRNA